rnacentral:rRNA from 1 species
CAGUCGCCGCGGUAAUACGGAGGGUGCAAGCGUUAUCCGGAUUUAUUGGGUUUAAAGGGUCCGUAGGCGGAUCUGUAAGUCAGUGGUGAAAUCUCACAGCUUAACUGUGAAACUGCCAUUGAUACUGCAGGUCUUGAGUAAAUUUGAAGUGGCUGGAAUAAGUAGUGUAGCGGUGAAAUGCAUAGAUAUUACUUAGAACACCAAUUGCGAAGGCAGGUCACUAAGAUUUAACUGACGCUGAUGGACGAAAGCGUGGGGAGCGAACAGGAUUAGAUACCCCGGUAGUCCCUGUCUCUUAUAU